UACGUAGGGGGCAAGCGUUGUCCGGAAUUAUUGGGCGUAAAGAGCGCGUAGGCGGUCCGAUAAGUCGGCUGUGAAAGUCCAGGGCUCAACCCUGGAAAGCCGGCCGAUACUGUCGGACUAGAGUCCGGAAGAGGCAAGUGGAAUUCCCGGUGUAGCGGUGAAAUGCGCAGAUAUCGGGAGGAACACCGGUGGCGAAGGCGGGUCUCUGGGCCGAAACUGACGCUGAGGAGCGAAAGCGUGGGGAGCAAACAGG
rnacentral:rRNA from 1 species